rnacentral:rRNA from 1 species
AUUGAACGCUGGCGGCAUGCUUUACACAUGCAAGUCGAACGGUAACAGGCCGCAAGGUGCUGACGAGUGGCGAACGGGUGCGUAAUGCAUCCGAACGUGCCCCGUCGUGGGGGAUAACUACUCGAAAGAGUAGCUAAUACCGCAUACGAUCUAUGGAUGAAAGCGGGGGACCGUAAGGCCUCGCGCGGUUGGAGCGGCCGAUGUCAGAUUAGGUAGUUGGUGGGGUAAAGGCUCACCAAGCCAACGAUCUGUAGCUGGUCUGAGAGGACGACCAGCCACACUGGGACUGAGACACGGCCCAGACUCCUACGGGAGGCAGCAGUAGGGAAUUUUGGACAAUGGGCGCAAGCCUGAUCCAGCAAUGCCGCGUGCAGGAAGAAGGCCUUCGGGUUGUAAACUGCUUUUGUACGGAACGAAACGGCUCUGGUUAAUACCCGGGGCUAAUGACGGUACCGUAAGAAUAAGCACCGGCUAACUACGUG